GUCAUCGUCCGCGGACGCGCGUGUGCGCUUUUACGCGCCGCAAAAACCUUUGAUCGCGAACAUCUAUAUGUCAAGCUCGUGUAUAUGUAUAUAUAUAUAUAUAUACAUACAUAGUGCGCACAGUUCCGGUAUACGUAGGUAUAUGAGUUUCGAUUUGAUCGAUUUACUAUAAAACGUAUACAAAAAGACUACACUGAAGAAAUUAUCAUAAGCCUGGAAGUAGUUGGAGGUAGAGGGUACCGCACCCAUUAGAUUUUGAUGUACACGAAGUUUACAAUUGUAAUUUUAUUUUGCUGUGAACAAUUGUCGACCCAAAGGCUGCUUUUUUGGCUGUUGAGCGAUGAUAUUUAUUAUUGGCAUUGAUCGACACGUCUAAUUUGGGAUCGGUGUCGACACGUUGUAUAUCGAAGAAUUUUUUUCUGUUUGUCGUUUGUUUUUAUGAUUGCUUCCUUAUAGCGUGUAAAUAAUAGUUCGAUAAAAUAAAAUGGAAUCGUUUGGAAGGAGAGGGUUUCUAAAUUGAUCAUAGCGUGCUACUAUGUUUAUGUGUACUUAUUAUCGAAUUUAUUUAUUAAACCAA